CCUACGGGAGGCAGCAGUGGGGAAUAUUGCACAAUGGGCGCAAGCCUGAUGCAGCCAUGCCGCGUGUGUGAAGAAGGCCUUCGGGUUGUAAAGCACUUUCAGCGGGGAGGAAGGCGGUGAGGUUAAUAACCUCAUCGAUUGACGUUACCCGCAGAAGAAGCACCGGCUAACUCCGUGCCAGCAGCCGCGGUAAUACGGAGGGUGCAAGCGUUAAUCGGAAUUACUGGGCGUAAAGCGCACGCAGGCGGUCUGUCAAGUCGGAUGUGAAAUCCCCGGGCUCAACCUGGGAACUGCAUUCGAAACUGGCUGGCUAGAGUCUUGUAGAGGGGGGUAGAAUUCCUGGUGUAGCGGUGAAAUGCGUAGAGAUCUGGAGGAAUACCGGUGGCGAAGGCGGCCCCCUGGACAAAGACUGACGCUCAGGUGCGAAAGCGUGGGGAGCAAACAGGAUUAGAUACCCGGGUAGUC
rnacentral:rRNA from 1 species